rnacentral:lncRNA from 1 species
UUUUUAUUUAUUUUUAUUGCUACUUUUUCCCCAUGGUGUAAUGGAAACAAUUAACAAAACAACAUCUUCUAGUAAAACUUACGUAAUGACUUCGGGGAACCGUGAGUGCGGGUUCGUUCAAUGCUCCUGUUGAAAGGAGACCCAGAUAUAGUAAAAAGUAAGAGAAAUGAGUUAAAAAGAAGGGAGAAAGUAGUGAUAUAAUUUUCCUGUACAAAUGAGCACGGUAAGUAGACGGGUGAGA